rnacentral:rRNA from 1 species
GAUGAACGCUAGCUACAGGCUUAACACAUGCAAGUCGAGGGGCAGCAUUUUAGUUUGCUUGCAAACUGAAGAUGGCGACCGGCGCACGGGUGAGUAACACGUAUCCAACCUGCCGAUAACUCCGGAAUAGCCUUUCGAAAGAAAGAUUAAUACCGGAUAGCAUACGAAUAUCGCAUGAUAUUUUUAUUAAAGAAUUUCGGUUAUCGAUGGGGAUGCGUUCCAUUAGUUUGUUGGCGGGGUAACGGCCCACCAAGACAACGAUGGAUAGGGGUUCUGAGAGGAAGGUCCCCCACAUUGGAACUGAGACACGGUCCAAACUCCUACGGGAGGCAGCAGUGAGGAAUAUUGGUCAAUGGGCGAGAGCCUGAACCAGCCAAGUAGCGUGAAGGAUGAAGGCUCUAUGGGUCGUAAACUUCUUUUAUAUGGGAAUAAAGUUUUCCACGUGUGGAAUUUUGUAUGUACCAUAUGAAUAAGGAUCGGCUAACUCCGUGCCAGCAGCCGCGGUAAUACGGAGGAUCCGAGCGUUAUCCGGAUUUAUUGGGUUUAAAGGGAGCGUAGGUGGAUUGUUAAGUCAGUUGUGAAAGUUUGCGGCUCAACCGUAAAAUUGCAGUUGAAACUGGCAGUCUUGAGUACAGUAGAGGUGGGCGGAAUUCGUGGUGUAGCGGUGAAAUGCUUAGAUAUCACGAAGAACUCCGAUUGCGAAGGCAGCUCACUAGACUGUCACUGGCACUGAUGCUCGAAAGUGUGGGUAUCAAACAGGAUUAGAUACCCUGGUAGUCCACACAGUAAACGAUGAAUACUCGCUGUUUGCGAUAUACAGUAAGCGGCCAAGCGAAAGCAUUAAGUAUUCCACCUGGGGAGUACGCCGGCAACGGUGAAACUCAAAGGAAUUGACGGGGGCCCGCACAAGCGGAGGAACAUGUGGUUUAAUUCGAUGAUACGCGAGGAACCUUACCCGGGCUUAAAUUGCAACAGAAUAUAUUGGAAACAGUAUAGCCGUAAGGCUGUUGUGAAGGUGCUGCAUGGUUGUCGUCAGCUCGUGCCGUGAGGUGUCGGCUUAAGUGCCAUAACGAGCGCAACCCUUAUCUUUAGUUACUAACAGGUGAUGCUGAGGACUCUAGAGAGACUGCCGUCGUAAGAUGUGAGGAAGGUGGGGAUGACGUCAAAUCAGCACGGCCCUUACGUCCGGGGCUACACACGUGUUACAAUGGGGGGUACAGAAGGCGGCUACCUGGUGACAGGAUGCUAAUCCCAAAAACCUCUCUCAGUUCGGAUCGAAGUCUGCAACCCGACUUCGUGAAGCUGGAUUCGCUAGUAAUCGCGCAUCAGCCAUGGCGCGGUGAAUACGUUCCCGGGCCUUGUACACACCGCCCGUCAAGCCAUGAAAGCCGGGGGUACCUGAAGUACGUAACCGCAAGGAGCGUCCUAGGGUAAAACUGGUAAUUGGGGCU